UUUUUUUUUUUUCCCUCCUUCUGGUCAAAUACAGAUCUUGGGCCGGGAUCGACAAAAUAUUUAGGCCCAUAAAUUAGGCCUACAGCCUUAAAAGGUUCCAUUUCUUGCCGCUGUCCGUCUUCUACAAGCGGUCAAUUUUCAUUCUGGGUUGGGCCUUUCUUUAAAGUGUCACAAUUAGGCUUGGUAGUGUAGUUUUUUUUCCCCUCUUCAAAGACGGUCAGUAAUUUUCAUUGGAGUAUGGGAGAAAAUAUGCAAGGAUGCUAUGAAAUUUAGAGCUAUGAAAUUCAACAAAGUGUUGCUACUCAUUCCAAAUUAACCACCCCAGUGGAAUAGGGGAGUCAAAUUGAAUUUAGAGCUAUGAAAUUCAACAAAGUGUUGCUACUCAUUCCAAAUUAACCACCCCAGUGGAAUAGGGGAGUCAAAUUG
rnacentral:misc_RNA from 1 species